rnacentral:rRNA from 1 species
AGAACGAACGCUGGCGGCAUGCCUAACACAUGCAAGUCGAACGAGACCUUCGGGUCUAGUGGCGCACGGGUGCGUAACGCGUGGGAAUCUGCCCUUGGGUCCGGGAUAACAGUUGGAAACGACUGCUAAUACCGGAUGAUGUCUUCGGACCAAAGAUUUAUCGCCCAGGGAUGAGCCCGCGUAGGAUUAGCUUGUUGGUGAGGUAAGAGCUCACCAAGGCGACGAUCCUUAGCUGGUCUGAGAGGAUGAUCAGCCACACUGGGACUGAGACACGGCCCAGACUCCUACGGGAGGCAGCAGUGGGGAAUAUUGGACAAUGGGCGAAAGCCUGAUCCAGCAAUGCCGCGUGAGUGAUGAAGGCCUUAGGGUUGUAAAGCUCUUUACCCGGGAUGAUAAUGACAGUACCGGAGAAUAAGCCCCGGCUAACUCCGUGCCAGCAGCCGAC